GCCCUGGUAGCUCAAUUGGUUAGAGCGUCGGACUUUUACAGGCUUUCUUAGCUUAUAACUGGUUAUCCGAAGGCUGCGGGUUCGACCCCCGCCUGGGGCG